GCCUGGAUGGCUCAGUUGGGUAAGCAUGUGACUUCAACUCAGGUCAUGAUCUCACAGUUCGUGGGCUCAAGCCCCACUGCUGGCU
rnacentral:tRNA from 1 species